rnacentral:rRNA from 1 species
AAAUUGAAGAGUUUGAUCAUGGCUCAGAUUGAACGCUGGCGGCAGGCCUAACACAUGCAAGUCGAGCGGUAGCACAGAGAGCUUGCUCUCGGGUGACGAGCGGCGGACGGGUGAGUAAUGUCUGGGAAACUGCCUGAUGGAGGGGGAUAACUACUGGAAACGGUAGCUAAUACCGCAUAACGUCGCAAGACCAAAGUGGGGGACCUUCGGGCCUCAUGCCAUCAGAUGUGCCCAGAUGGGAUUAGCUAGUAGGUGGGGUAACGGCUCACCUAGGCGACGAUCCCUAGCUGGUCUGAGAGGAUGACCAGCCACACUGGAACUGAGACACGGUCCAGACUCCUACGGGAGGCAGCAGUGGGGAAUAUUGCACAAUGGGCGCAAGCCUGAUGCAGCCAUGCCGCGUGUGUGAAGAAGGCCUUCGGGUUGUAAAGCACUUUCAGCGGGGAGGAAGGCGAUAAGGUUAAUAACCUUGUCGAUUGACGUUACCCGCAGAAGAAGCACCGGCUAACUCCGUGCCAGCAGCCGCGGUAAUACGGAGGGUGCAAGCGUUAAUCGGAAUUACUGGGCGUAAAGCGCACGCAGGCGGUCUGUCAAGUCGGAUGUGAAAUCCCCGGGCUUAACCUGGGAACUGCAUUCGAAACUGGCAGGCUAGAGUCUUGUAGAGGGGGUAGAAUUCCAGGUGUAGCGGUGAAAUGCGUAGAGAUCUGGAGGAAUACCGGUGGCGAAGGCGGCCCCCUGGACAAAGACUGACGCUCAGGUGCGAAAGCGUGGGAGCAAACAGGAUUAGAUACCCUGGUAGUCCACGCCGUAAACGAUGUCGAUUUGGAGGUUGUGCCCUUGAGGCGUGGCUUCCGGAGCUAACGCGUUAAAUCGACCGCCUGGGGAGUACGGCCGCAAGGUUAAAACUCAAAUGAAUUGACGGGGGCCCGCACAAGCGGUGGAGCAUGUGGUUUAAUUCGAUGCAACGCGAAGAACCUUACCUGGUCUUGACAUCCACAGAACUUUCCAGAGAUGGAUUGGUGCCUUCGGGAACUGUGAGACAGGUGCUGCAUGGCUGUCGUCAGCUCGUGUUGUGAAAUGUUGGGUUAAGUCCCGCAACGAGCGCAACCCUUAUCCUUUGUUGCCAGCGGUUCGGCCGGGAACUCAAAGGAGACUGCCAGUGAUAAACUGGAGGAAGGUGGGGAUGACGUCAAGUCAUCAUGGCCCUUACGACCAGGGCUACACACGUGCUACAAUGGCAUAUACAAAGAGAAGCGACCUCGCGAGAGCAAGCGGACCUCAUAAAGUAUGUCGUAGUCCGGAUUGGAGUCUGCAACUCGACUCCAUGAAGUCGGAAUCGCUAGUAAUCGUAGAUCAGAAUGCUACGGUGAAUACGUUCCCGGGCCUUGUACACACCGCCCGUCACACCAUGGGAGUGGGUUGCAAAAGAAGUAGGUAGCUUAACCUUCGGGAGGGCGCUUACCACUUUGUGAUUCAUGACUGGGGUGAAGUCGUAACAAGGUAACCGUAGGGGAACCUGCGGUUGGAUCACCUCCUUACCUUAAAGAA